UACGUAGGUGGCAAGCGUUGUCCGGAAUUAUUGGGCGUAAAGCGCGCGCAGGCGGUCCUUUAAGUCUGAUGUGAAAGCCCACGGCUCAACCGUGGAAGGUCAUUGGAAACUGGAGGACUUGAGUACAGAAGAGGAAAGCGGAAUUCCACGUGUAGCGGUGAAAUGCGUAGAGAUGUGGAGGAACACCAGUGGCGAAGGCGGCUUUCUGGGCCUUACCUGACGCUGAGACGCGAAAGCGUGGGGAGCGAACCGG
rnacentral:rRNA from 1 species